AACGUACGCUGGCGGCACGCCUAACACAUGCAAGUCGAACGAAGUAGCAAUACUUAGUGGCAGACGGGUGAGUAACAUGUAGGUAUCUGCCCUUUGGCCUGGAAUAACACGAGGAAACUUGUGCUAAUACCGGAUAAGUCUUUACGGAGAAAGCUUUAUGCACCAUUGGAUGAGCCUGCACUUGAUUAGUUUGUUGGUGGGGUAAUGGCCUACCAAGACUGUGAUCAAUAGCUGAUUUGAGAGGAUGAUCAGCCACAUUGGGACUGAGACACGGCCCAAACUCCUACGGGAGGCAGCAGUGGGGAAUCUUGCACAAUGGAGGAAACUCUGAUGCAGCGAUGCCGCGUGAGUGAAGAAGGCCCUUGGGUUGUAAAGCUCUUUCGUCGGGGAAGAAAAUGACUGUACCCGAAUAAGAAGGUCCGGCUAACUUCGUGCCAGCAGCCGCGGUAAUACGAAGGGACCUAGCGUAGUUCGGAAUUACUGGGCUUAAAGAGUUCGUAGGUGGUUGAAAAAGUUAGUGGUGAAAUCCCAGAGCUUAACUCUGGAACUGCCAUUAAAACUUUUCAGCUAGAGUAUGAUAGAGGAAAGCAGAAUUUCUAGUGUAGAGGUGAAAUUCGUAGAUAUUAGAAAGAAUACCAAUUGCGAAGGCAGCUUUCUGGAUCAUUACUGACACUGAGGAACGAAAGCAUGGGUAGCGAAGAGGAUUAGAUACCCUCGUAGUCCAUGCCGUAAACGAUGUGUGUUAGACGUUGGAAAUUUAUUUUCAGUGUCGCAGGGAAACCGAUAAACACACCGCCUGGGGAGUACGACCGCAAGGUUAAAACUCAAAUGAGUUGACGGGGACCCGCACGAGUAGUGGAGCAUGUGGUUUAAUUCGAAGAUACGCGCAGAACCUUACCAACACUUGACAUGUUCGUCGCGACUCUAAGAGAUUAGAGUUUUCGGUUCGGCCGGACGAAACACAGGUGCUGCAUGGCUGUCGUCAGCUCGUGUCGUGAGAUGUUGGGUUAAGUCCCGCAACGAGCGCAACCCUCACUUUUAGUUGCCAUCAUUAAGUUGGGCACUCUGAAAGAACUGCCAGUGAUAAGCUGGAGGAAGGUGGGGAUGACGUCAAGUCCUCAUGGCCCUUACGUGUUGGGCUACACACGUGCUACAAUGGUAUCUACAACAGGAAGCAAGACUGCGAAGUUAAGCAAAUCCCUAAAAGAUACCUCAGUUCGGAUUGCACUCUGCAACUCGAGUGCAUGAAGCUGGAAUUACUAGUAAUCGUGGAUCAGCGUGCCACGGUGAAUGCGUUCCCGGGUCU
rnacentral:rRNA from 1 species